rnacentral:rRNA from 1 species
AAAUGUAGAGUGCAUUUUCUAGAGAUAGGAAUUCCCUUCGGGGCUUUCUACAAGGUGCUGCAUGGUUGUCGUCAGCUCGUGCCGUGAGGUGUCGGGUUAAGUCCCAUAACGAGCGCAACCCUUAUCGUUAGUUGCCAUCUGGUAAAGCAGGGGACUCUAGCGAAACUGCCACCGUAAGGUGAGAGGAAGGUGGGGAUGACGUCAAAUCAGCACGGCCCUUAUGUCCAGGGCUACACACGUGUUACAAUGGUCGGUACAGAGGGCAGCUACCUGGUGACAGGAUGCUAAUCUCGAAACCGGCCUCAGUUCGGAUCGAAGUCUGCAACCUCGACUUCGUGAAGCUGGAUUCGCUAGUAAUCGCGCAUCAGCCAUGGCGCGGUGAAUACGUUCCCGGGCCUU